rnacentral:pre_miRNA from 1 species
CCUACUCCCAGUGCGAUCCCACUGCGCUUUUGAUCCGACUAACGAGCUUCCUUUUCGUUAGUCUGAUCAGAAGCGUGGGGGGAGCUGGGGACUGCUCGAGGC